GACGAACGCUGGCGGCGUGCCUAAUACAUGCAAGUUGAGCGCUGAAGGUUGGUACUUGUACCGACUGGAUGAGCAGCGAACGGGUGAGUAACGCGUGGGGAAUCUGCCUUUGAGCGGGGGACAACAUUUGGAAACGAAUGCUAAUACCGCAUAAAAACUUUAAACACAAGUUUUAAGUUUGAAAGAUGCAAUUGCAUCACUCAAAGAUGAUCCCGCGUUGUAUUAGCUAGUUGGUGAGGUAAAGGCUCACCAAGGCGAUGAUACAUAGCCGACCUGAGAGGGUGAUCGGCCACAUUGGGACUGGGACACGGCCCAAACUCCUGCGGGAGGCAGCAGUAGGGAAUCUUCGGCAAUGGACGAAAGUCUGACCGAGCAACGCCGCGUGGGUGAAGAAAGGUUUCGGAUCGUAAAAAUCGGUUGGUAGGGAAGAACGUUGGUGGGAGUGGAAAGCUCAUCAAGUGACGGUAACUACCCAGAAAGGGACGGCUAACUACGUG
rnacentral:rRNA from 1 species